GGGCCCGGCCCCCUGCGCCCCUGCCCACGGCCGGGGGGGGCCGGGGCCGCAGAGCAUAACUGUCAGCCCUAGCUUCGGUGCACCUUCCCCACUGUGCAGAGGGCAUCAUGUGUCCUCGCGUGGACUACCCCGCUGUGAUCUUCCUCUCUCCUGACUGCCCCAACACAAAAACUGCGUUACAAGGAGAGGGUGCACCUGCCUUUCACUUCCAAGCAAUAGGUAUUAAUAGAUAAUCAAGGUCCAGUUCCAGCCUUUACUCCAGUAAAGCCAUGAAACUUCGCCUCAGUAAGAACUGCCAACUUCACUUCCAUCCCUUCAUCUCACAGCCGAGAUUGUCCCAGGUGAUCGAUGUCAGACUCAAUAUGAGAAAUAUUGUAUAGCACAUUUCAGCUGAGUGAAUACAGCUAUCAAUUACUGUGGUACAAAUGGUACUACUAGACUUCUGUGAGUCAGGCUCUGGAAGAAGACAGGGCUACAUGCAGCCGUUAAAAACAGAUACAAUAUUUGCAUGUGCUGUGUCUUUCAUUUAACAUACUCAAUUUCACGCCUCUUAGUAACUGCUUUCAAUUUCCUAACUGAAGCAAGGGAAGACUGGUGAGAAGCAUAAAGGUUAGCAUUUAAAGGGAGAUGCUCAACUGAUACGAAACAGCUGCCCUGACAUCAUUUGUGCUACGGCAAUUGGUAUCAGCUGAUGAUCUGCCCUUUAUAUUCAAAGAAUCCCAAAGUGCUGGGUACAUAUAUGCACUGUGAGAAUGUUUAAACUCAACCACAUCCAGUCCCAGUAACAGAAUACGUGCCGCUAAAAUACAUACACCAUGUAGAAAAAAAUCCAAAUAUACAUGCACUCUAGCUGCACUGGAGAUUAUAGUUUAUCAUGCAGAUUAAUGCAUUAUUUGAUUCCAGCUCUAAUAUUGAUCCCCUGUGUAACAAGCGUGUUUACCUCUUUUUCUCUAGGUCACUUCAGCAUCUAUAAACUUCUUUUCCCUCCACCUUAAAAAGUCAUUCUGAGGGGAUCUGGACGAAAAGCAGUAUAUAUGUCAGAUUAACAAUGCAAUAUUCAUCAUAUUUAAAAGAUUUUAUUGAAUCCUUCCUAAUUCUGGUGGUUAGUGAUAACUAUAGUUUUUAACUGGGCUCCCCACACAGGGCAAAUUAAUUUCAGAUCUGCCCAUCUGAACUCCCUCUGCAGAUUGAGUUAGCGAUGUAAUUCUUUCUUGGCUUCCUUACUUACCAAAGGGGGAAGCCAGAAUAUAAUAAAAUGUAUGCAUACUACUGUUAAAGAAGGUAACUACAUCGCUUGUGGCCGUUUUGGGAGUAGCCGAGGCUAAAAAGUAAAGACUCAUGUCUCAUAUAAAAUAUGGAAGUUAGGUCUAGAACUUUGUAAGAUAUAUUCUGUCUUACACUUCGAGUACGAAGCCACCAAAUCUCUCUUGGAAGAAUGCAGCAUGAGCCUUACAUUUUCUGUUACUUUUAUUUAGCUCCAUCAUGGAGGGUCUAGCGCAACUCCUACAGGAAGAGAGUUUCCAUUCAAAAGUGAGCUGUGAAUUAAGGAAAGGAUUUUAUAGAAAUUUGAAAUUGCACACAGACAAGUCCACCCCUGGCAGGCAAAGGAAAAGUUGUGGCUCCAUUUGAUACCCAUCACUUAUUUCUCUGAACAGCUAUGGGAACAGCACCUCCCAGUGACUUCUGACAAUUUGCAUAGAUAAUUAACUUGCACAGAUUCAAAACCUGCAAUAAACAGUUUCCCCUACCCUGCUGCUCUUUUUCUGUGUUUUGAGAGCAAGGGAGAGGUCUGGGCACGUUUUUUUCCCCUUCAUCAUGUAGUUCUUCACCUAAGCCUCCCUUUGCCCCCAUUAUAUUAAAAGCCUGCUUAUGAGCAGA